GACGUCUUCUUCUGACCUCGCACCGCGACCCGUGAAACCGAAGAAGAAGGGUGGGGAGAGGCAAGACAGGACGGCAGCAGGGGCGAGCAUGGUUUUACAGGAGUACGGGGGCGUGGCCUGUCAGAGGUGUUGCGAUGAAUGUGGUCACAAAAAGGAGCUGUUUAGCAGGAGAUUGAGCUGCCCAGCCAUAUUACAGAGGCAUCGCUCUUGAUUCCGCUAUGCAAUGUUAUGGGACAUUGGUGAUGCGCAGGAUGGCCAGAAGGUGGCGCUCCAGCACGGUCAACAACGCAGAAAACAACAGUGCAGUGGAAACAAUAGCCGGGUGAGACAAGUUCACCUUCAGAGUCCCCCAGGCCUCUGCCCAAUGGAACGUCUUUGGGAUGAGCUAGAACUGCACCACGGACGUCCAAUCAGCAGCUUCUUCCCGAUGCCUUCAUGUCCGCGUGGACUAACAUCCCCUGGAUUGUUUCAGACACCUCGUGGGGUCAAUGCCUGGGGAGAAUUCAGAUUGUCCUGGAGGCAAAGAGGGUCCGACCGCUACUGGAUGUGUGUAUCUAAUAAACUGGCCACUGACUCAAAAAGAUGACUGAUGAUCUUUUGACUUUUGUAAUGUCAUGUUCAUGACUACGUUGUGAUCGUGUUGUGUCAUGUUUAUGCCUGCAUAAUGAUCAUGUUAUGACCACGUUAUGUCAUGUUUAUGGCCACGUUAUGAUCAUGUUAUGAGGUGAAAAAAGAAGUGUUACCAUGGUAUGUUUUGUGUUCUGCUAAAUAUGACAACACAUGGUUUUUUAUGUAAAGCUGAAUGCUAAGCUUUACUAAAUAGGCAGACAUGUUUAAUCAAGAUCUUGUAAUUUGCAUCUGGAUGUCAUUUAAAGGAAAUGUUUGUUUAUGACCUUAACUUUUCAUUGAUGUCUGAUCUUUGCGUGUAGUUUACUAAUAAAAUACCUUCGUUUCA